ACGGGGAUGAAACUGGGAAAACUUUACAUAAAUUGGGACCUUUGAAGGGGUGUAACCAAAGAGAAAAUGUUGAGAUGUCUUCUUGCAUUAUUAAUUAAAAGUGUUUUGUUGGAUUAUUAAUUGAAAAGUUUGGAGUAGAGGAUAACGUGUUGGUGCUCAAAAUUCUUGAACCAAGAAUAAUAGUAAAAAGAAUUAAUAUGUUUUAUUAUUUUUCCUGGUCAAGAGUAUAAGAUUUUAUUUAUAGUGGUGAUAAGUUACUCAAGGUUGAUCGUUUCUGCUUGUGGAUUGAUUAUUAUGUUAUGAUAUGACUUUGUAUUUUGAAAAGUUAAGGGAUACUAUUAAGACAUAGAAUGAUGUAAUUGAGUAUGAUUUGGAAAUCUCAAAGUGAGAUGAUUGAAUGUGAUU
rnacentral:lncRNA from 1 species